rnacentral:snRNA from 1 species
CAACCAUAGAAGGCACAUA